UACAGAGGUCUCGAGCGUUAGGCGGAAUCACUGGGCUUAAAGCGUGUGUAGGCGGAUGCCUAAGUACCUUGUGAAAUCCCACAGCUUAACUGUGGAACUGCUUGGUAUACUGGGUGUCUUGAGCCACUCAGGGGCGAGCGGAACAAAUGGUGGAGCGGUGAAAUGCGUAGAUAUCAGGAGGAACACCGGUGGCGAAGGCGGUUCUCUGGGCCUGUACUGACGCUGAGGAACGAAAGCGUGGGGAGCGAACAGG
rnacentral:rRNA from 1 species